AGCAGCCGCGGUAAUUCCAGCUCCAAUAGCGUAUAUUAAAGUUGUUGCAGUUAAAAAGCUCGUAGUUGAAUUUCGGGAUCAGUAGGUUGGUCAUGCCUUCGGUAUGUACUGGUCUCACUGAUUCCUCCCUCUUGAAGAACCGUAAUGUCAUUAAUUUGAUGUUGCGGGGAAACAGGACUGUUACUUUGAAAAAAUUAGAGUGUUUAAAGCAGGCUCACGCUUGAAUACAUUAGCAUGGAAUAAUGAAAUAGGACGUUCGAUCCUAUUUUGUUGGUUUCUAGGAUUGACGUAAUGAUUAAUAGGGAUAGUUGGGGGCAUUAGUAUUCAAUUGUCAGAGGUGAAAUUCUUGGAUUUAUUGAAGACUAACUACUGCGAAAGCAUUUGCCAAGGAUGUUUUCAUUAAUCAAGAACGAAAGUUAGGGGAUCGAAGACGAUCAGAUACCGUCGUAGUCUUAACCAUAAACUAUGCCGACUAGGGAUCGGAUGAUGUUAAUUUUUUAAUGUAACUCAUUCGGCGCCU
rnacentral:rRNA from 1 species